rnacentral:piRNA from 1 species
UAGAAACGAUGCCUUUGAAGGUGUUAACCA